rnacentral:rRNA from 1 species
ACGCUCGACACCUACUGGAGGCAGCAGUGGGGAAUAUUGCACAAUGGGGGAAACCCUGAUGCAGCGACGCCGCGUGAGUGAAGAAGUAUUUCGGUAUGUAAAGCUCUAUCAGCAGGGAAGAAAAUGACGGUACCUGAGUAAGAAGCCCCGGCUAACUACGUGCCAGCAGCCGCGGUAAUCUGAGCGGGCUGGCAAGGC